rnacentral:rRNA from 1 species
GCACCGGCUAACUCCGUGCCAGCAGCCGCGGUAAUACGGAGGGUGCGAGCGUUAAUCGGAAUAACUGGGCGUAAAGGGUGCGUAGGUGGUUUAAUAAGUUAUCUGUGAAAUUCCUGGGCUUAACCUAGGCAGGUCAGAUAAGACUGUUAGACUCGAGUACAGGAGAGGGCAGUGGAAUUUCCGGUGUAGCGGUGAAAUGCGUAGAGAUCGGAAGGAACACCAGUGGCGAAGGCGGCUGCCUGGCCUGAUACUGACACUGAGGCACGAAAGCGUGGGGAGCAAACAGGAUUAGAUACCCUGGUAGUCCACGCUGUAAACGAUGUCAACUAGCUGUUGGUUAUUUAAAUAUAGUCAGUGGCGCAGCAAACGCGAUAAGUUGAC